GGUAUCUUUAAGGACGCUGCUACAAAUCAACCGACUGAUUUCAUUCAAAAAUCAGCCGGAUCCGUAACCACUCGAUUCAUCCUUCCCCAGCCGUAGAUACGGUCAAACGCAUCAGCUUGCUCCCGAUUUUUUUCCUUCCGGAUCAGCAAAAACAAACAAAUCGUAGGCAACAAACCUCUCCAGCGUCAUCGUUGCAGCGCUGCUGCAUAAUACGAGAACCCCCCGUGGCCGCCGCCGACGUGGCUUCAUUGGAGCACUAGUGGCCAACAACGAGGGUUUCGUUGCAGCACGAGCGGCCGAUGACGAGGACUUCACUGCAGCACCCGGCGGCCGGCGACGAGGGCUAAAUUGCAGCAUCAAUGGCUUCCAUUGCAGCACCGGUGAAUGGCGACGAGGUCUUCAUGGCACCACCCGGCGGCCGGAGAUGAGGGCUUUCAUCGCAGCACCGGUGGCCGGCGAGUGCCCCAAUGCAGCGUCGGGAGGAAGCAUUGACGAGCGCUCAUUGCAGCGUCGGGAGGAAGGUUCGACGAGCGUGGAUUGCAGCACCGGCGAGCGCUCCAUUGUAGCGUCGGGAGGAAGCGUCGACGAGCACGAAUGCAACGUCAACGAACGCUCCAUUGCAGCUCCGCCACCCCGCGACUUGCAGCACCUGUAGCCCCUCACGAGGUCGCGUCGCAACGCGACGGGUAUGGACGAGUUGCUCGGUUGAAACACCAACGGCCGUUGAGAGGAGCGAUGCAUGGUGUGCUCGCGUGAGCUCGUGCUCUUGCCAUGAAACACGACAGCGGUGCGUGGCGAGCUUGCGUUGGCCGCCUAGGAACUCCGAUGCGCACUAUUUCGGCUGAGGAGUGAUAGCGCAAUGGUGUGCGAUGGCGGUGGCUGGACCAUAUGCAGUAGCGGCCGGUGGGUGAGAAGAAAGAC
rnacentral:lncRNA from 1 species